rnacentral:rRNA from 1 species
CAUACCCCAGACUGAGGGAUAACUACUCGAAAGAGUAGCUAAUACCGCAUACGAUCUACGGAUUAAAGCUUUCGGGCGGUUUGGGAAUGGCCUGCGUACGAUUAGAUAGUUGGUGAGGUAAUGGCUCACCAAGUCGACGAUCGUUAGAUGGUUUGAGAGGAUGAUCAUCCAGACUGGGACUGAGACACGGCCCAGACUCCUACGGGAGGCAGCAGUAGGGAAUCUUUCACAAUGGGCGAAAGCCUGAUGGAGCAAUGCCGCGUGCAGGACGAAGGCCUUCGGGUUGUAAACUGCUUUUAUAAGCGAGGAAUAUGACGGUAACUUAUGAAUAAGGAUCGGCUAACUACGUGCCAGCAGCCGCGGUCAUACGUAGGGUGCAAGCAUUAUCCGGAGUGACUGGGCGUAAAGAGUUGCGUAGGUGGACAAGUUAGCGAAUAGUGAAAUCUGGUGGCUCAACCACGCAGACUAUUAUUCGAACUGCUUGUCUCGAGAGUAGCAGAGGUAACUGGAAUUCCUAGUGUAGGAGUGAAAUCCGUAAAUAUUAGGAGGAACACCAAUGGCGUAGGCAGGUUACUGGGCUAUUUCUGACACUGAGGCACGAAAGCGUGGGGAGCAAACAGGAUUAAAUACCCUGGUAGUCACGCCGUAAACGAUGAAUACUA